UACGUAGGGGGCAAGCGUUGUCCGGAAUCAUUGGGCGUAAAGAGCGUGUAGGCGGCCCGAUAAGUCCGCUGUGAAAGUCCAGGGCUCAACCCUGGAAUGCCGGUGGAUACUGUCGGGCUCGAGUCCGGAAGAGGUGAGUGGAAUUCCCGGUGUAGCGGUGAAAUGCGCAGAUAUCGGGAGGAACACCUAUGGCGAAGGCAGCUCGCUGGGACGUUACUGACGCUGAGACGCGAAAGCGUGGGGAGCAAACAGG
rnacentral:rRNA from 1 species